UACGGGGGGGGCAAGCGUUGUUCGGAAUUACUGGGCGUAAAGGGCUCGUAGGCGGCCAACUAAGUCAUACGUGAAAUCCCUCAGCUUAACUGGGGAACUGCGUGUGAUACUGGAUGGCUUGGAUUUGGGAGAGGGAUGCGGAAUUCCAGGUGUAGCGGUGAAAUGCGUAGAUAUCUGGAGGAACACCGGUGGCGAAGGCGACUUUCUGGUCUGUAACUGACACUGAGGCGCGAAAGCGUGGGGAGCAAACAGG
rnacentral:rRNA from 1 species